GGGGCAUGAUCAUAUUAAUCAACAUGAUUCCAAGCACAGAACCAAGCAGAAGAGGAACUUUUACAGAUGAGAAGUGGGAUAGGGGCUGGGAAUACAACAUUCAACAACAAAAUAAGGAAUUGGCUAGAGAAAUGAUAAUGAAGUAAUCCUAUUUCUGAGGGAAAUUACUUUGUAAGGUCCCUAGGACAGA